CUGUGAACACCCUUGGCAGCAUUUUGCAACCAACGGCAUCGCCGGACAGCGACACGGCAGGACAUCGAACGUAGUAGAGAGGACGUGGAGCUUCUCAGCAGCUCCCCCAGCAUCCCGCACCGGGGAUUCGUUUCCCUUCAUGCCAGCAAGCGCGGGACUGGGAAACGUGGACACGGUUGGGGAGGGGAACGGCGUGGGACCGGCACCCCGCAGCCCAUACUGCUGCAGCUGCUGAAGUGCACGGUACCUUCAGACCACGGAGACACCCUGUUUGCUUGGGUCUUGGUGCCCUCUCCUGACAGCUGUGGCAUGGAUGCAGCCCAGACCCCGGGGCUCCGGCUGGAUGGGGAGGCCCAGCCGGCACUGCGCAGGGGGUGAGCGCAGCGUGUCCAGGAGCCCAGAGCCAAGCAAGGAGCAUCCCGUCACCUGGGGGAGCCAGGGCCGAGCGGGGCCUCACCUCCGUCCUGGUCCUCCAUCCACCUUCCCCAGCGUCAGGUCCCGGCAGAGGCCUGCCGGCACAGGGGUGAAUGAAUCCCUUGUUUUGCUUUGCUUGUUUGCACAGCUUUUGCUUUACCUAUUGAACUUUUAUCUCAA